rnacentral:tRNA from 1 species
UCCCUGGUGGUCCACUGGCGAAGGCACUGCACUCCCAAUGCAGGGGGCCCAGGCUUGAUCCCUGGUCAGGGAA